rnacentral:rRNA from 1 species
UACGUAGGGUGCGAGCGUUAAUCGGAAUUACUGGGCGUAAAGCGUGCGCAGGCGGUAAUGUAAGACAGAUGUGAAAUCCCCGGGCUUAACCUGGGACCUGCAUUUGUGACUGCAUUGCUGGAGUGCGGCAGAGGGGGAUGGAAUUCCGCGUGUAGCAGUGAAAUGCGUAGAUAUACGGAGGAACACCGAUGGCGAAGGCAAUCCCCUGGGCCUGCACUGAUGCUCAUGCACGAAAGCGUGGGGAGCAAACAGG